rnacentral:ncRNA from 1 species
AACCGAUAAGGGCAAACUUAUUGAAAGAUAAGGACGCAAAACCAAGGGCCUAAUGCUUACUGAGCUAUGGCAGCCUAGUUGCCGAA